rnacentral:rRNA from 1 species
CCUACGGGAGGCAGCAGUGGGGAAUAUUGGGCAAUGGGCGCAAGCCUGACCCAGCAACGCCGCGUGAAGGAAGAAGGCUUUCGGGUUGUAAACUUCUUUUCUCAGGGACGAAGCAAGUGACGGUACCUGAGGAAUAAGCCACGGCUAACUACGUGCCAGCAGCCGCGGUAAUACGUAGGUGGCAAGCGUUAUCCGGAUUUACUGGGUGUAAAGGGCGUGUAGGCGGGAAAGCAAGUCAAAUGUGAAAACCAUGGGCUCAACCUGUGGCCUGCAUUUGAAACUGUUUUUCUUGAGUACUGGAGAGGCAGACGGAAUUCCUAGUGUAGCGGUGAAAUGCGGAGAUAUUAGGAGGAACACCAGUGGCGAAGGCGGUCUGCUGGACAGCAACUGACGCUGAGGCGCGAAAGCGUGGGGAGCAAACAGGAUUAGAUACCCUAGUAGUC